rnacentral:lncRNA from 1 species
CUGCAUUAUUCCUGACAUCAAAAUUGAUGAACGCAAAGGUGGUCAAAAGUCUUGGAUGAGAUGGGAGAAGACAUCUAAAUAACGCAAAAUAUUUUAUAUCCCCCAAAGACAACGUUUAGUUGAAAAUGAGCUUGGAUUGUGGACCAAAAUCAUCUCAAUUUUUCAGAAUCCAUCGUAAAGGAGUACUGACCUUGGUUGGGGAAUUGCCAAUUUAUAGGCAAAAGGAGGAGAAGGUGUCCCUUAUCUCAGUUUCCUAUAGAUGGCCAGGAGAAACCUCAUUUCCUGGCCCUGUGCUUCGGCUGGCUAUGCAACUGGCAGCCAAAAGUCCUGUCAAUCUUGCGAGAUUCUGGGACUGGUCGUUCUUACCCAGGCUUGACCCCCUACCUCCAAGAGCCGACCUUGUCUUGCCCAAUUUCUCCUACCCCUCCAUUUCCUGCCUGUGAGACCUUGGGGGUAUCAACUGACCAAGAAAGACUCCCCUGGUUGUAGAAGGAUGCACUCAUUUUGUUUUGGCCCAACAGUAAUUUAUGUAUCGAAAAUGAUUUCUUGUAAGGAUACAAUUGGGGGCUAAAAGGCUCAAAGUCGUGGUCUGUUCUCCUGCCUUCAUCAGCAAUGCCCACAUAAAUGUUCCAGCCAUGUGGGUGUCCACUUUAGAGUAUCUAGGUUUUUGCAAAUUGGCAUACCCUGGGCUAAGUGUAGCAAAAUGGCUCCCAUGUAUCCCGGUAACAGCCCUUCAUUUAUCACCCGUCCCUCAUAUGGCACAGGCAUCCAUUCCUCUGCUACACAGAAACCACACAAAUGUGAAACAUUUGGAAGCCAGCAGCGAGGGGAUCGCCACCAGGUCCCCAGCUAUUGGAUCAGAGGAGGGGGAAUUUUAAUCUUAUACCAGUGUACUUUUUUUUUUUUUUAAUUUUUUUAACGUUUAUUUUUGAGACAGAGAGAGAUAGAGCAUGAACGGGGGAGGGUCAGAGAGAGGGAGACACAGAAUCUGAAACAGGCUCCAGGCUCUGAGCUGUCAGCACAGAGCCCGACGCGGGGCUCGAACUCACGGACCGCGAGAUCGUGACCUGAGCCGAAGUCGGACGCUCAACCGACUGAGCCGCCCAGGCGCCCCGCCAGUGUACUUUUAAAACCCAUUCAUUUUAACCUUAGUCCAUCCUGACCACACAAAAAAUUCCUUUCCACAGAUUUCCCUUCACAAGCCUUCUGCAACUUUCCUUUGCAUUUAGAUUUUGUCCCAAGCCAUUCCUCUGCAAACAACCAGUCUCAUUUAGGACAACAUUAUUUUCUUUUACCUUCAACAAAAAUAUAUUUUCCAUUUCUUCUCUAUAUUUUUUUACACAUCUUUUCUACAAACAGUGUUGCUUUCCUUUUUUCCCAUCAGUCUUAACUACAUUUAGCAGAAUUUUAACUCUUAGAAACCUUAGUCUCCAGUGAAAAUGA